CUAUACAUGACUCUGCGCAUAUCAAUAAGCGGAGGAAAAGAAACUAACAAGGAUUCCCCUAGUAACGGCGAGUGAAGCGGGAAGAGCUCAAAUUUGAAAUCUUAAAGGGUUCUCCCUUACGAAUUGUAGUUUAAAGAAGUGUUUUCUGUUGAGGUUUUGGUAAAAGUUCUUUGGAAUAGGACAUCAUAGAGGGUGAGAAUCCCGUAUUUGACCUUUACUUUCAACUUUGUGAUACACUUUCAAAGAGUCGGAUCGUUUGGGAAUGCAGUCCAAAAUGGGUGGUAAAUUUCAUCUAAAGCUAAAUAUUGGCGAGAGACCGAUAGCGAACAAGUACCGUGAGGGAAAGAUGAAAAGAACUUUGAAAAGAGAGUUAAACAGUACGUGAAAUUGUCAAAAGGGAAGCGUUUGACACCAGUGUUGUUUUUCUGAAAAUCAAUUAAAGAACUGUCUAUGCUAAGUUGUUUAGACUUUAUCAGCUAAUCUGCUUAGUUUUGAGCUUUUCUUUAAUGCACUUUUCAGUUAACAAGUCAACAUCAAUUUCUUUUGCUGUAAAAAAGCUUGAGGAAGGUGGCUUGAGAUUCGUCUUAAGUGUUUAUAGCCUCUUGCCUAUGCAGUCGGAGAGAUUGAGGUCUGCAGCGUAGAUCCUUCGGGGCUAAAUGCAUUUGUGCUAAGUUAUAGCAUUUUAUAGACAACUUGUUGACUAUGAUUUGUCUUGUAGCUUACUCGCUUAUGUUAUUUUACCUACGCUUAGGAUGUUGAGCGCAUGUCUCUCUCU
rnacentral:rRNA from 1 species